rnacentral:rRNA from 1 species
GACGAACGCUGGCGGCGUGCCUAAUACAUGCAAGUCGAACGAGAGCGCCCGGUGCUUGCCCUGGUCAAUCUAGUGGCGAACGGGUGAGUAACACGUGGGUAACCUGCCCAUCAGAGGGGGAUAACAUUCGGAAACGGAUGCUAAAACCGCAUAGGUCUUCGAACCGCAUGGUUUGAAGAGGAAAAGAGGCGCAAGCUUCUGCUGAUGGAUGGACCCGCGGUGCAUUAGCUAGUUGGUGAGGUAACGGCUCACCAAGGCCGUGAUGCAUAGCCGACCUGAGAGGGUGAUCGGCCACAUUGGGACUGAGACACGGCCCAAACUCCUACGGGAGGCAGCAGUAGGGAAUCUUCCGCAAAGGACGCAAGUCUGACGGAGCAACGCCGCGUGAGUGAAGAAGGUGUUCGGAUCGUAAAACUCUGUUGUUAGAGAAGAAUAAGUGCUAGAGUAACUGUUAGCGCCUUGACGGUAGCUAACCAGAAAGCCACGGCUAACUACGUG